rnacentral:lncRNA from 1 species
UUGCGCCAUUGAAUGAUGUGUGCAGUCUCAUAGAUAUCCCUUGUAUUGUAACCAAUCAGAUAAAUGGGAUUAAUCAUCUUUUUAUAUAAAACCUGAUAUUCUCCUCGAAGAUUCUUUAUUUUUUGGAUGAAAAGAAUAUGUUAAGAAACCUUUAGACAAAGCAUCCAAAGUCAUAAUCGAUCAUGCAGGAUGAUUUUACAACCACUGCUUGGCUCCCCAA